rnacentral:lncRNA from 1 species
ACAGAUAUGCGGCGCUCCCCUCCCCCUUCUACUGUUCAUCAUCUUCCCCAACUCUCAAACUCACCAUUGACUCGCCCGAGCUCACUCAAUGAUCCCCUUCGUUGGUCCCCUCCUCUCUUCUCUCCUUCUUCCACGUCACGAAAUCGUACAGGUAUCAUCAUUGCGAAUUGAUUCACAUAAUUUUCUUCCUUCAUCUUCUUUUUCUAACCAACAAUCCGAAUCCCUUAGAUGAACGAUUGGAAAAUGGGAGCCGUUGGAUCAAGGUCUUGAUCCAAGACCUCCAUUUUUUGAUUUUUUUUUUACUAAAAAGGGAUUUUCGGAUUUUGUAUUUGGGGACCACACGGUCUCGGGAUUUCUUGGAGAGGAAGAGAGGAAGCUUUUAGGGCUUCAUAUAUAUAUUUGGGGUCUCGGACAAAACAGGGGGCUGGAGAAAAUUUGGGGUUGAUUCUAGGGUUCUUUAAGUUUUUUUUUUAAAAAUUUUGGUUCGAUUGGGAUUCCGGAAAAAUAAAAAUACAAAAAUAGUUUUGAGUUUCAUUUUUGUUCAAGAUUUUGCUUCAUUUCGAAAAUCAGAAAAAUAUGAAAAUAUAUGCAAUACAGUUCUGCUUUCGUCCGUUCAAAUUUUGGAUUUAGGAUUCAGCUUUGGAGUUUGAUCAAGGUUUACUGCAGAGUUUGAAGUAGCCGUCGAAGUUCGUUCGUGAUUCGGUUCUCAUAAAUUGUUCGUAGGCUGAUCGUCGUGUCGAAUACAGUCAUAACUGCUGCUUCGAUUUUCUUUCUCGUGUUACUGCAGAAGUUUUAUUAAUUGAAGUCCAAUUCUAGGUUCACAUCUACUACCUCUGUCCCUGUUUUAUUUGUUUGAAUGUGUUGAGCUUUGGUCUGUGCGCUUGAUCUAAUGUUCAACUCUGACUAUAAGUGAUCUGAAUCUGCAGAAAUGAACAACAUAUUUCCUUGAUCUUUAUUGUGUUAGAGAUUGUAGACUGUGCUUAUGUUCGCCAUUGUGUCAUGGUUUCCCUGUUGGUUGCAAUGUGUUUGUUUUACCAUUUUUUACGAACAUUUCUGCUCGGUUUGGUUGAGUUUGUAAGUUGGAAUGAGUUUCUGAAAUUGUUUUGAUGAUUCUCUGUCUGUCUUGGCUCGGUUAGUUUCCAAUGUCUUCUGAAAAUCGCAUAAAUCCAUGAGUCUUAAUCGAGUCAACCCCAGCAGCUUGUGCUAGCUUAGUUCAUAAUCCUAUUAUGUUUUCUCUUAUGUCGCAAUUUGGUUUGAAUUUGUAUAACC